rnacentral:rRNA from 1 species
UUCCGUAGGUGAACCUGCGGAAGGAUCAUUCGCACAAAGAAUAUCUUUUACACCCGCCACGCACCACACAGUGCUUUCUGUUUUUAAUCAGGAUUUAUAUCCAACUCGUCGAUGUUGCGAUUCCAUUGCAAUGUAUGCGAUGUUAUCUAUCUCUUGCGACGACGAAUGCCUUGGCUCGAGGAUCGUUGAGGGACGCAGCGAACUGUGCUAAACAUCUCGAAUUGCAGAUUUCCGAGAAAGAAAAGGAUUCUGAACGCACUUUGCGAAUUGACCUCGUGUCAGUUCACUUGAUUGGCGGUGACCGCAAUAUGCAGUCGCUCGAACUCCGAAGUUUGAGUGGUGUGCACGUGUUGUUGCAGAUUGUUGCACCGACAUGUUCGUAGAAUUCGACGCGCCUCUCGUUUUCGAGCAGCAUUAUGACUUCGUGUUAUGAUGUUCGAAGGCAGGGACCGUUUCUUGUUUGGUUUUCCAAACGAUUCUUUCGCACGCUCACGACCAGUCAAGGGAUUACCCGCUGAAUUUAGGCAUAUCAAUAAGCGGAGG